GGGUCGUUAGCUCAGUUGGUAGAGCAGCGGACUUUUAAUCCGUUGGUCGCUGGUUCGAGCCCAGCACGGCCUA
rfam:Massilia sp. JS1662 GAT182, whole genome shotgun sequence.